rnacentral:rRNA from 1 species
GACGAACGCUGGCGGCGUGCCUAAUACAUGCAAGUAGAACGAGUUGCGAACGGGUGAGUAACGCGUGGUAACCUGCCUCAUAGCGGGGGAUAACUAUUGGAAACGAUAGCUAAUACCGCAUACCAUCGGAUGUGCCCAGAUGGGAUUAGCUAGUAGGUGGGGUAAUGGCUCACCUAGGCGACGAUCCCGAGCUGGUCUGAGAGGAUGACCAGCCACACUGGAACUGAGACACGGUCCAGACUCCGACGGGAGGCAGCAGUGGGGAAUAUUGCACAAGGGGCGCAAGCCGGAUGCAGCCAUGCCGCGUGUAUGAAGAAGGCCUUCGGGUUGUAAAGUACUUUCAGCGAGGAGGCGUUACUCGCAGAAGAAGCACCGGCUAACUCCGUGCCAGCAGCCGCGGUAAUAC